AACAGCGUCAUGUCCAGAAGGCGAGCAUAAAGUGUUCAAUCAUUGUUUGUGUGAGCACAGAGAAGACGAACAAUUAAAGCAUUUCACAACAGAUAGCUACGUCAUUAUAGAAAACAGUAAGCCGGAUGUCACUGGCGAAGCAGCAACUAAGACAGAAAGUGUUUAUUGGAAGAAGUUGCCACUAAAUUCCUCAAACAGUGAAAACUUUACUAACCCAAGGUUAAAAAUUAAGCUUCCUUUACAGACGGAGCUGGAAACGCCGGACAUUGAGAGAACGCGGAGUUUUAUUCCGAGUCCUGCGGAGAGUAUCUGUCAUAGCAGUGCUGUCAUUGUGACACAGCGGACCUGCCCAGAUGACCGAAGUCCGACGUCCGUUAGCAUAGCCAUCCGGCACACGGACGUCUAGGAAUCUAUCCAACCCUUAGUGCCAAAAGGGAUCACGAGACAUAGCUGGGCGAAGGAAUCAAAAAAGGCAAAGCAAAAGAAACUCGCCUUUUCCAAGAACAUCUUGACUUCCGUUGUAAAAAUGUGAAGAGACCAAGAACUUUGUGAUAAUGAAUUCUUCAAAGCAUAAACAUUUAAAUGUCUCGUUUGCCUGCCUUUCAAAAGCUCGGCACAUCCAACAGUUCUCAUUCAGUUCUUGAGCUUCAUUCUAGGUGCUUAUCGAACGAGUAUUAUAUGCCACUAGACUCGAAAAUGGAAACUAGAAUAACUAUAUUUGUUUCAGUUUUUCUUCCCACAGGAAACGCGCAUGGAAGUUAAAUUAUGAAAUUCAUUCUCUGCGACGGUUCAGUAAUUUUACUUGCAGUUUGCCUUUAUCUGUAUUUACAGUUUAUUACAUUUCGCAAAAUCAUGUCUUUGGGCGAUGUCAUUUAUCCUGGUAAUUUUGAAGUGAACCAAUAUAAACAGUUAUAUGUAAGACAAAUGAUAACUAAAACCCACCAAACCUGCAUUAAUACAAGUAUAUUUGGACAUCUAAUCCCAGACAUUUCGUUUCAUUUAAACUAGUGUUAUGAAUGUUACUUGAAUUGUAACAUCUUUUAAAGUGAUUUAUGAUGUUAGAAAUUUAUUGUAUGAACUUCAUUAUUAUCGAUUAUUUAUUCUUUUUUAGUUUAUGGAUGUUUAUUUUAGUGACAUAUUUAAUGAAUUUUAAAGGCAAAUUCAAGAAAUGUGUCUUAUGUAUAAUCAUCUGAUAAAUGAAUGAAAAUGGUUCUUUUUCAUUCUGUUUGUUUGAUAUCUUGGUAGUAUGUUUUAAUCUAGAAGAAGAUGAUAUCUCUGUUUGGCAAAAAUAUGAAUAUUAACU